AUACGUAGGGGGCGAGCGUUGUCCGGAAUGAUUGGGCGUAAAGGGCGCGUAGGCGGCGCGGUAAGUCUGGAGUGAAAGUCCUGCUUUCAAGGUGGGAAUUGCUUUGGGUACUGCCGCGCUUGAGUGCAGGAGAGGUUAUCGGAAUUCCCGGUGUAGCGGUGAAAUGCGUAGAGAUCGGGAGGAACACCAGUGGCGAAGGCGGGUAACAGGACGGCGACUGACGCUGAGGCGUGAAAGUGUGGAGAGCAAACAGGAUUAGAUACCCUGGUAGUCCACCCUGUAAACGAUGAAUGCUAGGUGUAAGAGGUAUCGAGCCCUUUUGUGCCGGAGUCAACACAAUAAGCAUUCCGCCUGGGGAGUACGGCCGCAAGGUUGAAACUCAAAGGAAUUGACGGGG
rnacentral:rRNA from 1 species